UACCGAGGUCUCAAGCGUUGUUCGGAUUCAUUGGGCGUAAAGGGUGCGUAGGUGGCGGGGUAAGUCAGGUGUGAAAUUUCGGAGCUUAACUCCGAAACUGCAUUUGAUACUGCCUUGCUUGAGGACUGGAGAGGAGACUGGAAUUCACGGUGUAGCAGUGAAAUGCGUAGAUAUCGUGAGGAAGACCAGUGGCGAAGGCGGGUCUCUGGACAGUUCCUGACACUGAGGCACGAAGGCCAGGGGAGCAAACGGG
rnacentral:rRNA from 1 species